rnacentral:rRNA from 1 species
UCAGCAGCCGCGGUAAUACGUAGGUGGCAAGCGUUGUCCGGAAUUAUUGGGCGUAAAGCGCGCGCAGGCGGGAUAUUAAGUCUGUUUUAAAAGUUCGGGGCUCAACCCCGUGAUGGAAUGGAAACUAAUAUUCUUGAGUGCAGGAGAGGAAAGUGGAAUUCCCAGUGUAGCGGUGAAAUGCGUAGAUAUUGGGAGGAACACCAGUGGCGAAGGCGACUUUCUGGACUGUGUCUGACGCUGAGGCGCGAAAGCCAGGGGAGUGAACGGGAUUAGAUACCCCGGUAAUCCUGGCCGUAAACGAUGGGUACUAGGUGUAGGAGGUAUCGACCCCUUCUGUGCCGGAGUUAACGCAAUAAGUACCCCGCCUGGGGAGUACGGCCGCAAGGUUGAAACUCAAAGGAAUUGACGGGGGCCCGCACAAGCGGUGGAGUAUGUGGUUUAAUUCGACGCAACGCGAAGAACCUUACCAGGACUUGACAUCGAUUGAAAUACCUAGAGAUAGGUACCUUCCCUUCGGGGAACAAGAAGACAGGUGGUGCAUGGCUGUCGUCAGCUCGUGUCGUGAGAUGUUGGGUUAAGUCCCGCAACGAGCGCAACCCUUAUCCUAUGUUGCCAGCGAGUAAAGUCGGGAACUCAUGGGAGACUGCCGCAGACAAUGCGGAGGAAGGCGGGGAUGACGUCAAGUCAUCAUGCCCCUUAUGUCCUGNGCUACACACGUACUACAAUGGGCUUAAAUAGAGGGAAGCGAAGCCGCGAGGUGAAGCGAACCCCA